rnacentral:rRNA from 1 species
GACGAACGCUGGCGGCGUGCUUAACACAUGCAAGUCGAACGGAAAGGCCCUGCUUUUGUGGGGUGCUCGUUUGGCGAACGGGUGAGUAACACGUGAGUAUACUCCCCUUGUCUUUGUGAUAACUUCAGGAAACUCGGGCUCAUAUCGGAUAUGAUCUCCUGCUGCAUGUUGGUGGUUGGAAAGUUUCGGCUGUUGUGGAUGGUCUCGCGGCUUAUCAGCUUGUUUGUGGGGUAGUUGCUUACCAAGGCUUCGACGGCUAGCCGGCCUGAGAGGGUGACCGGGCACCAGAGGACUACGAGACGGACCAGAAUCGAACGGGAGGCAGCGGGCGGAAGUAUUGCACAACAGGCGGAAGCCUGAUAUAGAGGCGCCGCGUGCGGGAUGCCGGCUUUCGGGGUGUAAACAGAUUUCGCAGGUGCCGAAGAGUGAGUGACGGUAAUGGGUCAAGAAGCACCGGCUAACUACGUG